GAUGAACGCUGGCGGCGUGCUUAACACAUGCAAGUCGAACGAAACACCUUAUCUGAUUUUCUUCGGAACUGAAGAUUUGGUGAUUGAGUGGCGGACGGGUGAGUAACGCGUGGGUAACCUGCCCUGUACAGGGGGAUAACAGUCAGAAAUGACUGCUAAUACCGCAUAAGACCACAGCACCGCAUGGUGCAGGGGUAAAAACUCCGGUGGUACAGGAUGGACCCGCGUCUGAUUAGCUGGUUGGUGAGGUAACGGCUCACCAAGGCGACGAUCAGUAGCCGGCUUGAGAGAGUGAACGGCCACAUUGGGACUGAGACACGGCCCAAACUCCUACGGGAGGCAGCAGUGGGGAAUAUUGCACAAUGGGGGAAACCCUGAUGCAGCGACGCCGCGUGAGUGAAGAAGUAUCUCGGUAUGUAAAGCUCUAUCAGCAGGGAAGAAAAUGACGGUACCUGACUAAGAAGC
rnacentral:rRNA from 1 species